GUGGCUGUAGCUCAGCUGGUAGAGCCCUGGAUUGUGAUUCCAGUUGUCGUGGGUUCGAGCCCCAUCAGCCACC
rnacentral:tRNA from 1 species